rnacentral:lncRNA from 1 species
UAGGCUGACAUUUUGCAACGUUUAUUGAGUGUUGCGAAAAGUUACUCUUUUCGGAACGUUUAUUAGAUGUUGCAAAAUUUUAAACUAUUGACAAUGUUUAGUAAAUGUUGCAAAAAGAAAAAGUUUUCGCAAUGCUUAGUAAACAUUGCAGAAUGUAAACUUUCAGCAACGUUUACUAAACGAUAUGAAAAGUUUAAUACCCAAUUCAAUUCACACUCACACACGAUAAAACCUUACAAUAACAAAACCCAAAACUCCAAAGAAUCCUCGCUCCUCUCAUGAACCCAGAAGCCACAACCCACAAUCCUCACGCCUCACGCUGUGUCUUCGUGCCUCAACCGUGUCUUUGCGCCUCAAGCUAUCAACACUUUUGAUGCCAAUCGUUAGCCUUACUACUUUCUUCUCCAAUAUGACGCCAAUCGUUGCUAGUUGUUGCAGCAAAUAUAUGCAUAUUUUGGGGCCUAGACUGUGCAAUUGAAAGGGGAUCGAUAUGUAGUCCGCGCGUAAUAAUUUCGGAUUCAGUAAUUGACUUAGUUGAGGAAAAUUGAUGAUGAACCAUAUGUGCAUCUGGUUCACCAUGAUGAGUAGAAGGUAGUGGUGGUGGUGCGUGACCGUGGUUCGUAACGCUGGAGCUUAAAUUUGGGAGAAAAGGUCCAUGGUUCGUUGCCUUCGAACUGAGUUCAAACUGGUUUUGAUUUAAAUUGUUUCUUGAUGAUAUGGGGCCAUGAAACUGCUUACCUUGGGGAGUAUUUGAAGCUUGUAAUGUAGUUAGGCCAUGGGCGUUGUAGAUUUGGGCGGAAUUAGUGUAAAAACUAGGCGUGAGUUUGAGUUUUUGGGUUGAUUAUGGAUUUGUGGGGGUUGUUUUUUGGUAUAGCUCGUAGGAUAAGAUGAGGGGAUGUUGGUGGUGCAAAGAUCCGGUGGUUUAUCCAGCUGGAUGGAGGUCAAAUUUGGAGUAGAAGCUGCUAGCAACAAUCGGAUUUGCUGUAAAAAAAAUGAAACCUAACGCUGUGAAUUUUUUUUUCGAACGUUUUCGCAACGUUUAAGAAAUGUUACCACACCUUUCUACUCUAUGGCAGCAUCCAGAUUUGCGAUAUGCGGUCGAACGUUGCAAAAGAUCUUUAGCAACUUUUUUGAACGUUGCAAAAGCCUAUUUUUGUUGUAGUGCUAUCACUAUGAA